GGAGGAAGAGAAAAAGGAAGGUUCGAGAGAGAGGCAGACGGGAGGAAAAAGGGGGUACAAGCCCAGACCGACUCGGUCGGGGAGCUGCUCUGCAGCGACGGAGCUUAGCUCCCUCCUCCAUCGUCCGGCCGCCUACCGGUGCAAGGCUGGUAUCCACAGGCCCGUCUCGACGUCCCUAACCUCCUUGUGAUUCCAUUUUGAAGAGUGGAGCUCCGGUGAGAGAGAAAAGGAGGACAAAAGGCGAUUGGGUUUUCGAUCGGAAUUCCGAUACCGGCGACGGCGGCGAGCGUGACCGGUAUUGGCAGCUUGGUCUCGUUCUCCCUGACAUCGUUGUGCUACUGGAUUUUCAUGGGAAGCUGAGGGGAGAGAGAUUCGAAGAAGGGAAACUUUUCUGGGUUUGCCCGCGAGUUCUCAAUUCCGGCCACGGCGGCGGGCGUGGAUGGUGUUGGUAGCUUUGUCCCGGUCUUGUCGACGUCUCUGUGCCUUCAGCUUGCAGAGGUGAGGUCCGGUGAGUGAGAAUCGAUGUAAAGGAGUGGUUUGAGUUUUUCGGCGAGGGUUCGAUGCUUUCCGGCCACCGUCGUUGGCAAGUGAGGAAUGGCAGGUAAGGGGGAGGUCGGACUAGCUGCUGCAUUCUCGGUCAAGGAAUUGAAAUUGAGUAUUCAGCUGUGUUAUGAUCAACCUGAUAUUAAGGAAGGACAAGGAGAAAUCGUGGUAUUGGAAGAAAGGAUGUUAACUCGCACUUUGGAUGCUACUGUGUUCUUUA